AUUCUUCAUGGAUUCUCGAAGAUGAUAAUCCCCUUUUCAGGCGGAAGGGAAGGAAAAUCCGGUGGCCUCUGUCUCCAUCCAAAAGGAUGGAGCUGAAAGGCAAGGAGGGAGCAGGAAAACGCCUCUGGGCCAAAAGGAUGGAAAUGACAUCGGUGAGGCUGCUGGUCUGGUCCUUCCUCCUUUUGAUCCUGGGAAAUCUCACCUGGGCUGCAGAUCCCCCAAACUACUGCUACGGGGCCCCCGGUCUGCCUGGAGUCCCAGGACCUCCAGGGAAAGAUGGGCGCGAUGGACAUCGAGGACCCAAAGGAGAACCAGGUCCUCCGGCUGCCCCGGGAAAGCACGGACCCAAGGGAGAGCCGG
rnacentral:lncRNA from 1 species